rnacentral:rRNA from 1 species
CAGCAGCCGCGGUAAUACAGAGGGGGCAAGCGUUGUUCGGAAUUACUGGGCGUAAAGGGCGCGUAGGCGGCCCGCUAAGUCGAACGUGAAAUCCCCGAGCUCAACUCGGGAACUGCGUCCGAUACUGCAUGGCUUGAGUAUGGGAGAGGAUGAGGGAAUUCCUGGUGUAGCGGUGAAAUGCGUAGAUAUCGGGAGGAACACCAGUGGCGAAGGCGAGUCUCUGGCCUAAUACCGACACUGAGGAACGAAAGCCAGGGGAGCAAACGGGAUUAGAUACCCCGGUAGUCCUGGCCCUAAACGAUGGAUGCUAGGUGUGGGCGGUGUCGACUCCGUCCGUGCCGAAGCUAACGCAUUAAGCAUCCCGCCUGGGGAGUACGGCCGCAAGGCUAAAACUCAAAGGAAUUGACGG